rnacentral:rRNA from 1 species
UACGGGGGGGGCAAGCGUUGUUCGGAAUUACUGGGCGUAAAGGGCUCGUAGGCGGCCAACUAAGUCAGACGUGAAAUCCCUCGGCUUAACCGGGGAACUGCAUCUGAUACUGGAUGGCUUGAGUUCGGGAGAGGGAUGCGGAAUUCCAGGUGUAGCGGUGAAAUGCGUAGAUAUCUGGAGGAACACCGGUGGCGAAGGCGGCAUCCUGGACCGGCAUUGACGCUGAGGCGCGAAAGCUAGGGGAGCGAACGGG